rnacentral:siRNA from 1 species
UGACAUAACACGGCUGACUUAAC